AUUGAACGCUGGCGGCAUGCCUUACACAUGCAAGUCGAACGGUAACAGGUCUUCGGAUGCUGACGAGUGGCGAACGGGUGAGUAAUACAUCGGAACGUGCCUAGUAGUGGGGGAUAACUACUCGAAAGAGUGGCUAAUACCGCAUGAGAUCUACGGAUGAAAGCAGGGGAUCGCAAGACCUUGUGCUACUAGAGCGGCCGAUGGCAGAUUAGGUAGUUGGUGGGAUAAAAGCUUACCAAGCCGACGAUCUGUAGCUGGUCUGAGAGGACGAUCAGCCACACUGGGACUGCGACACUGCCCAUACUCCUACGGGAGGCAGCAGUGGGGAAUUUUGGACAAUGGGCGAAAGCCUGAUCCAGCAAUGCCGCGUGCAGGAUGAAGGCCUUCGGGUUGUAAACUGCUUUUGUACGGAACGAAAAGCCCCGGGUUAAUACCCUGGGGUCAUGACGGUACCGUAAGAAUAAGCACCGGCUAACUACGUGCCAGCCGCCGCAGUAA
rnacentral:rRNA from 1 species